rnacentral:tRNA from 1 species
GGGGUUGUAGCUUAGUGGUAGAGCGCUUGCUUAGCAUGUAUGAGGCACUGGGUUUGAUCCUCAGCACUACA